rnacentral:rRNA from 1 species
CCUCCGCCGGCGACCGGCGCACGGGUGAGUAACACGUAUGCAACCUGGCCGUGACAGAUGGAUAACCGGGAGAAAUCCCGCCUAAUACAACAUAAUGCCGGGAGGGGACAUCCCCUGCCGGUCAAAGGGGGCGACCCCGGUCAUGGAUGGGCAUGCGGCGCAUUAGGUAGUUGGUGGGGCAACGGCCCACCAAGCCGACGAUGCGUAGGGGUUCUGAGAGGAAGGUCCCCCACAUUGGAACUGAGACACGGUCCAAACUCCUACGGAAGGCAGCAG